rnacentral:rRNA from 1 species
UACGUAGGGUGCGAGCGUUAAUCGGAAUUACUGGGCGUAAAGUGUGCGCAGGCGGCAGAGCAAGUCGAGUGUGAAAGCCCCGGGCUUAACUUGGGAAUUGCGCUCGAAACUACUUUGCUGGAGUGUGGCAGAGGAAGGUGGAAUUCCACGUGUAGCGGUGAGAUGCGUAGAGAUGUGGAGGAACACCAAUGGCGAAGGCAGCCUUCUGGGCCAACACUGACGCUCAUGCACGAAAGCGUGGGGAGCAAACAGG